GUACUGAUGACUUUUAAGGAAGAGUGAAGUAGUAGUGAAGAAAAAUUCAGACUUAGGGAUGAUAGAAGUCGUAUUUGGGAUGCCAAAAGUGGCGGUGUGUAUAAAAGGACUGUAUGGAAUCUCUAUCGCCAGUUUAUCGUGAGGAUGACUUCGGUUCAGAAAAAAAAAUUGUUGUGUGAUGCUAACUGAUUAUGAAUUAGACUUUUUUAUUAUGUUUGGAGGUCGGUGUCUCAUUGACAAGAUCGAUUGAUAAGGUAAGAUGUUGUAGGAAUUGUAAAAACCUAAAGUGAAUCACUGGAUUACGUCGUGUUAAUGGAUUUAAGUGGAAAUUCGGAAAGGAUGUUAUUUUGAUGUAACAACGAUUUAUACUCCACUAAGGUUGUCGGAUACUAAUUGGCAAAUUGGGGAACUGAUCACCCUCAAUCUAUUGUUAAUGGUAGACGAAACUCGUGUUGGACGUUAUAGAUUUGUCUUGUUGUCUUAAUAGUGUAGAAAGAAUAUCUAUAUUUUAUCGUGAAGAUAGUCGCCCAUUAGUUUGUGUAGAUUGGUAAGAGGGAUGAUUGAGUUAGAAUUAGAUGAGAUUAACAAUCAGUGUGGUACGUUUUAUGCAAGCGAGUGUCACAAAGUGAAAGAUUGGAAUUAUCAAGUAAACAACGAUGUGAGGAUGAGUAUUGAAGAAAGUUUGUAUUGGAUCGAGAAUUUGUGAACCAUAUAAGUGGACGGAAUUUUAUCGAGAAUGGUGACUUAAAAGAGAAUUAUCAGAGUUGAUAAGCGGAAGCCUUAGGUGACACUGUUGUUGUAAGGCUUGAGGGAGUAAGAAACUAUAUGCUAGAAGUCGGUAAAGAUGAGUUAUCUUGAUAUUUGGAUUGAUGGACUGUUGGAAUAAGUGUGAUGCGCCAAAAUACUGCAUUGAGUCGUUGAUUAUUGCAAAACUGGUAAGAACUGUAAUGUGUUUAUGUUCAUGAGAAUCAUUGUUGUGACGAAGAGGUAGUGAUCGAAGUGUUACCAAGCGCGAUUUGGAGAUUGAUAUUUGGAUACAGGAUUUGGUUGCGAUGGUGUUGUCAAGUAGAUUUUCGAGGACGAAAAUAUUCUAAGUGGGGGAGAGUUGUAACGCCCGGAAAUUCGAUUAUUCGCUUAAUCUAGACGUUCAGAAUGUUUAGUGAAGUUUUUGUAUUUUGAGACGAUUUAGUCGGUAUUAGUUCGGGAUAGCGGAUCGAUAUUUGAUCAAGAGUUUUGAUAUUUUCAGUAUUAGAAAUAUCAUUGGAAUAAUAUUUGAAGUUUUGGGAAUUUUCCGAGUAAUUAAGAUUAGACCGGAAAUAUGAUAUAUUGGUCGAAUUUGGAUUGUCGGUGUUAUUUUAAGAAGCGUAUUUGAAUUUAUUAAGUUAAAAGUCGGAUUUUAGUCGGACGGUCGAAGAAUAAUAUUAAGAAUAAUAUUAUUUACAAGUCGGAAUUUAUUAUAUCGUUGGAAUAUUAAUAAAAGUGAUAUUUUGAUUUAAUUGGAGUUAUUUAUCUUAUUGGGCCUAAAUUGAUUUUGGAGGAUAUUAAAUAAAGAAGAGUUGUUAACCACUAAGCCCAAAUUGGAUUUUAUACUAGGGUUUUAGAGAUUGAAGAUUAGUGUUGUCAUUUGGGAGAAAACAAGAAUAGAAGAGAAGGAGACUAUGGCUUGAAGAAGAUAUUCCAAGCUUGGAGAUUUCAUCCAUGGUGUCAAGUUUAUGAUGCAAUUGGAGACCCAUAGAGUUGCUUCCAUUGAUAAGGUAUUCAAGUAUGAAGAUUUAGUUGUCGUUACUCGAGUCGGUUGUCGCUCUGAUACGUAGCACUCUGGGGGGAACGAUUUAUGUCAUUCAUGAUGUUGUUGUUUAAUUGUGUUAUCUUGGUUGAACAAAAAUGAUAAGUUAACUGAAGAUAUUUUAUUGAAUACUUGUUUAAGUGAUUCCGCUGUGUUUUAAUAAAAUAAGUUAUUCUGUUUCAAA